AACUCCUAUCAAUUGAUGUGGUGACCGGAGGAUCGAGAAUCGAGGGGAGUUGAGUCCAGAACAGCAUUUACCCUUUCAGCUUGAUGUCUAGAAGUGGGAUCAGCAAAACCAUUUGCGGUGAGUAGCCUUUUUGUGUCUUAUUGACGCUAAUUGUCUAUGACCCCCUUUAGUUUAGUAAGUCUGUAUCCAGUAGAAAGGAAAGGUAUAAGGACUUAGUUAUAUUGAGACUGUAAAUAGGUCUCCGGUUUAUUAGACAUUUGGUCUAAAUAUAUAUAUAGGGUUCUUGGUAACCCAGGUUAGUAUCUAAGAUAGAUACAGGGUAUCUCAGGUAGAUACAGGUUUUGAGACGAUAAAGGAGUCUCCGUUUAUUAAGACUAUAGGUGUUCUAGGGAACACGGUUUAUAGAUCUAGAAUAACCCAAACUUCUCGUUCCUUUGGUCACCCUGUGUCUGCUUUGUGUUUAUUUUGCUCGUUAAGUAGAGACACACUAUUGGUAAGUAGGUAGUGUCUCUACCCUGAGCCAGAAAUAUGGGAAAUAAUCAGUCUAUUUCUUACCCUUUACCCAGGGGAGUCAUGUCUAAAUUAUGUUACUAGAAUAGGAGCACAAGGAGUAUUUCUUACAAUCCCCUAUGUGUCAAAUUUAGCAGGAUGGACAGAGACUAUGAAGUCAUCUGAUCCUUUUCCCAGGUGUGGGGCUAAUGAUGAUUUCCAUAUGAAUAUGAUUCGAGGAUUGUGUUUGGGAGAUAGGAAGUCACGGCCGUGGUAUGGUCCUGAUCCAGAUUGGGAUAAGGAAUAUAUGAAAGCAGGAGGUGAAAAUUGGUUGCAGAUAGCCCCUCAUUGGUUUCCUUGUAGUGUAACAGGAAAGGUUUUAAAGGGAGCUAAGAAAGACCUGGCUAAGAGAAAGGGAGAAAAGCCCCUCCUGAGAAUCCAUAUCCAGUCAACCCCGGCCAUGCCUAACCACAACCCCCACCUCCCUAUAAAGCAAUGUAUCCUGCUGUACCUAAUGCCCCCUCAGAGGAUGAUACAGAAUAUAUUUCUAUUGCUGCAGCUGUUAAUUCACAAUCACAGCAAUUACAGGAAUCAUCAUCUACACCAGAUUCUGAUAUAGAAUACCCACGCCACCUCCCGGUACAAUUAAAUUAACAGUACAAACAGGAGUUAAACUUAAAAGUGGCAAGGUGUUAAAAUCAUAUGUACAUAAGCAAGGUGAUGAUGAUGUAGAGAUGCCAGAAUUAGAAGGUGCUGAUCUUACUGCCCCGUUUAUGACUGUUGGUAAACAGUUAAUAAUGAAACCCAUUAAUCCUGCAGUACUCAAGGACAUUAUUCAAGGUGCCCCAAACACCUGUACUAAUCCCUCUAAUCCCCCUAAUGUAUCUGAAAAGAAUGUGUUUAGGAAGAACAUGACACAGAUAGACAUACAGUUAAUUAUAAAUGGAAUAUUAGGGUAUGGUUGGGAUUGGUCUAAGGUACCCUCUAUCAGUGAGACAGACAACAGUACUGGAGUUGGAAUGGCUGGCAGUGAUGGUGUUUAUGAGCUUAGUACUUCAGCAGGAUGUGCUAAAAUGUGGGAUGAGGUGGAAGCUGAAAUGUUGAGAUUAUGGAAGAAUAAGCAGUCUAUAUCCACUGCUUUGGCAUGUAAGCAAGGUGCAAAGGAAGAGAUUGGUAUUUUUGUAAAGAGAUUUUACAAGUGUUGGAAGGAUGAGGCAGGUUUGAAGUCUGGAGAUGAUAUGGAUCUCCUUAAAAUACAGUCAUGCCUUGGUAAUAUGUUGCCACGGUAUUCUUUGCUUGUGAAACAGUUGAUUUCAGACUGGGCCAAUUUGGGUGGCUCAGAUUUUCUUACCAAGGUUAUAGAGAAGGAAAAUGCAGGUUGUUUUGAUUUAAAAAAAGAUUCAGGAAGUAAGGUUGCUUAAUUUUCUCAGGGAUUGCAACACUGUCCACCUACACAGGCCCGAGAGAGAGGAUGGGAUGGAGCACAUAGAGCCUGUGGAAGGGGUGGUCAAAGAGGGGCAAGGGGAUGGAGACAGGGAAAUCAGGGUUAUAGGGGCAGAGGUAACCAAGGAGGAAUAGACAGGAACACUUGUUUCAACUGUGGCCAGCAUGGCCACUGGAGGAAUGAGUGUCCACACCCCAGGAAACCCCAGCAGCCCCAACAACCCCACAAUUCUCAAAAUACGCCCGGUAGGCAAGAACAACACCAGGCCCACUCCCAACACCACUGGCCAGCACUUCCCCCUCCCCCCUCACUCCAGCAAACCCAAACUGCACUAGGGCCAUUCACAGGUACCACUGACCAGCACACCCAUCACAUUCCAUGGCCCCAAUAGGGCUGCCUUGAAGGUGACACUCCAACUUUUCCACUUUUGUCCUCUAUUAAUGAUGAUCAGCCUUUUUGUAUUCUGGUCAUAGAAGGUAGAUCCUUGCCAUUUUUGGUAGAUACUGGUAGAUUGCCAUUUUUGUUCCAGUCUCUGUGAUACCUAUUAUCAGGGGACAAGGGAAAAGUCUACACCUUCAUUGGGUAUUAAUGGAGUGUCAACACCCACUUUUGUCACACCACCACUGUCUGUUUUUUGUCCUCUUAAUGGUUCUUCUACUGUGCACCCUUUUCGUCUAAUACCUAAACGUCCUGUUAAUUUGCUGGGAAGGGAUCUUCUUGGUAUUCUGGGAGCUACUAUUACUUGCACGCCCUCUGGUGGUAUUGAUGUGUCUAUGUUGUGUUCUGAAGCUAUUGAUUUGUCUGAUGUUCCUUCCUCUGUGUGGGCUUCAUCUAAGUUAGAUGUAGGAUUUGUCAACUGCACCCCUUACAAAGCCAAACUAAAACCAGAUGUAACUCUUAUCCUUAAACAGUACCCCCUGUCAGAAGCCAAAGUUGAGGGAGUUCGCCCCAUGAUCCAAUCUUUUCUAGAGCAGGGAAUACUAAAGCCAGUAGUUUCCCCAUAUAACACACCUAUUAAUCCAGUUCCUAAAGGUAAUGGUUAUCGCUUAGUUCAGGAGUUUAGAGCCCUGAAUAGUUUAAUUGUGCCCAUUGCACCCAUUGUCCCUGAUGUGACAUCCCUCAUUACAGCCAUUCCACAUGAUGCCACUUGCUUCACUGUCAUUGAUUUAAGUAAUGCAUUUUUUUUCUAUACCUAUUGAUCAAGAGACACAGUUACUUAUGGCGUUUACUUUUGAAGGCUGUCAGUAUACCUGGACACGUUUACCCCAAGGCUAUGUGGAUUCCCCAGCCGUUUAUUCGCUGGUACUACAUACUCUAAAAACCAUGGACCCCCAGUCAUGGUUCCGUCCUUUUGCAAUAUGUUGAUGACUUGUUGUUAUGUAGCCCUAGCUAUGAGGCAAGCACUGUGGAUACUGUCAGUUUGCUCAAACACUUAGCAACUGUGGGUCACAAGGUUGCAAAACACAAAAUGCAAUUGUGUAAAUCAAAGGUUGAUUACUUAGGUUUUAUUCUGGCUUCAGGCACCAGACAAUUGAGUCCAAAACAUAUUGAGGUCAUUCAGAGGAUUCCUAAACCCACUACUCGGAAGGAGUUGCUCACCUUCCUCGGCAUGAUUAAUUACUGCCGCCAGUGGAUCCCUGAAUGCUCCCAUUAUGACUCAAUCCUAAGGGAGGCUGUACGUUCUGACAGCCCUGAAAAUGUCCGCUGGUCACCAGACAUGCUAGCUGCGUAUAUUGCCCUCAAAGUUGCUAUUGUUCAAGCCCCGGCUUUAGGACUACCUGUGUAUUGUACACCAUUUCAUUUGUAUGCUCGGGACAACUGUAAAACCAUGGCCGCGGUCUGUGCACAAGAGCACGGAGGCGGUAUGCGUCCCAUAGCAUUCUUUUCCAAAGUAGUUCCAGCUCCGGUACAGGGUAUGCUGGCGUGUCUCAGAGCAUUGGCAGCAUGUGCAAUGGCUGUUGAGACUGCUACUACUAUCACACGAGGGCAUCCUACAAUACUCCAUACCAGUCACCAGGUCACUCAGCUUAUAAAAAAUCUCACCACACAACACAUGACAGCCCAGCGCUUAAGUGGUUAUGAGAUUAUUCUUCUUAAUACCCAGAAUCUGUCUAUUGUUUAUAGUCCUGUUAAUUCUGGUCCUAUGUCUGUUUUGAAUGCUAUUCUCACUUCUGCAUCUGACUCUGUGUCUAUACCAUCUGAGCCUCAUAAUUGCAUUGAACAAAUACAUAUUGCCACAUCUCCCAGAGCAGACCUCUCCUCCACUGCACUCAGUGGCCCGGAUGUGACCACUGUCUUUGUGGAUGGCUCUUGCUCCAGACCAAAUGAUGGUACAUACCUCACAGGCUAUUCCGUGGUACAGCUACCUGAUAAAAUCAUUGAAGCUGACACUAUUUUCCAGCCGUCUGCACAAGCUGCAGAACUCAUUGCUCUCACACUUGCCUGUCAGCUUUUCUCAGGACAGCGAGUGAACAUUUACACAGACUCACGAUAUGCUCAUGGGGUAGUGCAUGAUUUUGGUGUGAUUUGGAAACAAAGAGGCUUUGUAGGAGCCGAUGGAAAAGCCAUUUCACAUACAAAUCUCAUCCAAUCACUCCUAGAUGCUAUCCUACUCCCAUCUGAAGUAGCUGUUAUCCACUGCAAGGCACACACUCUGGGUAGUGACGACAUUUCCAGAGGUAAUGCCUUGGCUGACAAAGUGGUAAAAGAAGUUGCAGCCAAGACUCUUUACUAUGAAAUGUUUCCUGCUAUGCUCACACCUCCCACAUGCCCUACUGACAGUUUGCUUUUGCAGCUCCAAGCCUUUGCAACGCAAUCUGACUUUGAUUUUUGGAUUAAACAAGGUUUAGAAAAAGAUCAGAAUGAUCUUUUCUCUAAAGAGGGGAAGAUAGGCAUACCUGAAGCCAGCUGUUUUAUUUUCAUCACUCAGGCACAUGGUCCUGGUCACAAAAGCAUAUCAAGCACCAUCCAAUUCCUCAUGAAUUAAUUUUAUAUUAGGAAUCUCAGGCAGCAUGUACAGUCUUUUGUAAGAUCGUGUGAACCAUGUAUGAGAACACAUCCGAAUAUUCCACACAAAUCACAGCACGAACAUUUGCCCCCUCCAGCAGCUCCUUUUACACACUUACAGAUUGAUUUUACUCAUGUACCUAAAAUUGGUAAGAAACAGCUAAUACUUACUGGUCAUAGUUGAUCAGUUUAGUAGAUGGCCUGAGGCCUUUUUGACAUCUAGGGAAGAUGCUAGGACUGUAGUGAAGAUUCUUGCUACUGAAAUUAUUCCCAGGUAUGGCUGCCGUCUGCAGAUUAACUCUGAUAAUGGCCCGGCAUUUGCUAGUAAGGUUACCCAGGAACUUGCUAAAUUCUUGCAAGUUACCUGGAAGUUUCAUAUACCCUAUCAUCCACAGAGUUCAGGGGUAGUUGAAAGGAUGAAUAGGACCAUUAAGGAGAAGCUUAUGAAAGCUACUGCAGGAACAUGGGUAAAUUGGACAAAAUAUCUUCCAGCUAUUUUAGCUGAGAUAAGAAUGACUCCCCACAAGGUGACUAAAUUAUCUCCAUUUGAGAUUCUGAUGGGACGACCUUUUCCCACACCCUGGGCCAGGGAGCCACUUGUUAUAAUGUCUGGGGAUUUACAGCUAAUACAAGAACAAUAUGUACAGGAAUUGUUGAUAAAACUGAAUGGUAUAUAUGGCAAUGUUUCUUCGCAGUUUCCCUUACCUUCACAGGAACCUACUCAUCCAUACCAGCCCGGUGACAAGGUGUAUAUCCGUCAGCUGAACAGGACCAAGAAAGGAGGAUACCCUUUCGGACCACCUGCUACUGUGAUUGCUGUAACCAGAACCGCUGUCCUCACAGAUUCCCACGACAUCUGGAUUCACGCAUCCCGAGUGAAGCUGUGUCCAAAGAGGGGAACCAAGGAAGACAACACCUCAUCUCACUUGGAAAGAGAAGAAUUUGCCCUUAGCGAAGCAUCAUGGCUUUCACACCAUAUCGUAGAUUGAGAGGAUCAUACGAACCUGAGACCAAGAUUAUGUUUUGCGCUAUGCUUUCUGGAGUUGUUAUACUCCCUCUGAUAUUGUUCCUUGAAUGCCAUUAUGAGUACAAGUCAAUGGGAAGUUUGAAACCUGUUUGUUUCUGGAGAAAUGACUCUGACAUGAUGAUCAAUUCUUCAAUACCCCCAGCCCAAUUAGGCCUUAGCCCCUCAUCUAGCAUUCGUCACACACGCUCCCACAAGAAUCUCUCUCCACCACCUAUCUAUCAGCAUGUAAUAUGCAAUCACUCAUUGACUGAACACAUAUGGAUGAACUGGAUAAAUAAUAACCCUUAUAAGUACCAGUAACCCAUAUGGAAUGUGUCCACAGCUAAUUAAACCGAUGCAUUAUGUUUGUUUAAAGGUUCACGGAAAAUUGUUAGAUCUUAUAACGCAGAAAUGUGCACAGUUAAGGUUGCUAAUUACACUAGCAUCUGUGCCACCUUAUUUAAUAUAAGUUCUGAUGGUAAGAAAAAACCACCUCACCAUCAUGGGCGUCCGCAGGGGGGGGCAAGGGGGGGCACUUGCCCCCCCCUGGAUUUUUCAGCUUGUUCUGCUAUUUUUCGUGUGAUUGAAAAUGAACUGCAAUACCGGCGCCGGCCAGUAGGUGGCGCUGUGUAUGGAGAGAGACAGGGAUAGGAAGCUGCAUCUUAUCCCUGCUUCUCUCUGCUGAUUGAAACCGC